AUUGAACGCUGGCGGCAGGCUUAACACAUGCAAGUCGAGCGAGCGGCGGACGGGUGAGUAAUGUCUGGGAAACUGCCUGAUGGAGGGGGAUAACUACUGGAAACGGUAGCUAAUACCGCAUACCAUCAGAUGUGCCCAGAUGGGAUUAUCUCGUAUGUGUGGUAAUGGCUCACCUAGGCGACGAUCCCUAGCUGGUCUGAUAGGAUGACCAGCCACACUGGAAUUGAGACACGGUCCAGACUCCUACGGGAGGCAGCAGUGGGGAAUAUUGCACAAUGGGCGCAAGCCUGAGGCAGCCAUGCCGCGUGUGUGAAGAAGGCCUUCGGGUUGUAAAGCACUUUCAGCGAGGAGGCGGUACUCGCAGAAGAAGCACCGGCUAACUCCGUGCCAGCAGCCGCGGUAAUUC
rnacentral:rRNA from 1 species